rnacentral:lncRNA from 1 species
AGGGAAUAAAAAAGGCAAAACAAAAUUAUUUUAGCUACAGUCAGUGAAACAUCUAUUGACAGAGAGAGGGGAUACAAUCACUGAACAAGAGCAAACCAAUAAAGGACCUUGAAACCAAGUAUGCAUCUGGGAAGCAGUCCAGAGAUUGACUGCAGGUCCAUUUAGGGGUUAGGGCAGGGUGAAGAGGCUGAAUCAUGUGGAGAGCUGGGGAGGCAGUUUCAGAAACAUCUUGCAGGGCAAGAGGAUGAAGGUCGAUGGUAAGGACAUUGAAAGAUGUGGAAGCUAGAGGACUAAAGAGACAAUCUCUCUUUCAUACAAGUAUCUUCUAGCUGACAUUUAUGGCUUCUUUCCAUUUAAAAGUGGAAUAUUCCCCCACAAGUGUGCUGGGAGAGUCUCGGCUUUCAGAUGAACAAUGAAAUAUGCUGGAUACAGUCAGCUGCUACUUGGCUUCACCUUCUGCUCUUUCUCUAGUGUCAGUACUUACUCCUCAUCUAGGAAGAGAAUCAGUGCUUAAUGUGAGAGAAAAAGAACCCAAAAGAUGGCUUUCUGAGGGGCUUCGCACAGCCUGAUAAGACAAUGUAUUUUCUCCCCAACGUUGUCAACUGGGGAAACGCUGUCAUCCCCAACAGUGUCACUGGGGCCCCUAACCUUGAGUACUGACGUGGGGGAACUGAAGUUCUUUCAACGGGGUUUUUAAAGGCACACCAGCAGUCACAGACAUACACACAGUUUCUGAUGCUCAGGAGUUAAUCAAUCCUAGUUUCCAUCUGCGCACAUGUUGUGUUGCAGUCCAAGGAUGUACUUGACCACCCAACUGGCCUGCUGUAAUAGAGACCUAAGUGCUGUGUACUCAGAAACAUUGACAAGCUAUUAUCUUACUUCUUGCCUCCCUGGCCACAAUUCUACACUCUGUGCUGAGCACUAUACAGACACAUCUAACUUUCAAAACAGCCAUAUGAGAUAAAUAAUAUUACUAUCUCCAUUUUACCAAUGAGCAAAACUGAGGCAUCAAAGGUCGUACAUCUAUUAAGAGCAGGGCCAGAAUUUGAACUCAUUUCAGGAUUUGAACUCAUGUUUUUAACUACUUUUUUAUGUAGUUAAAAGCUGAAAGAUGGUAGGAUUUGCUAAGAAGGAACCUGGAUGGUAAGGCAGAGAUGAAAAUUAUCAAACUGUAACCAUCAGGGGACACAAUUAAUUACAUAAAGUCGCUUAAUAGAAUAUGCUAAGGAAAACUUAUUCCUCAAUUAAAGUGGCAUUGUGCAAUAACAGAGACUGAUCAACCUCUUUCAGCAGAAUCCUGGAAAACUAUGUAAACACCCACAGGCCUUGGAGGAUGUUAGUGUCAAUCUACUGGGAAG